AGAGGCUCCGGGCCUGACGGUACCCGAGAAGAAAGCCCCGGCUAAAUACGUGCCCGCAGCGGCGGUAUUAUGUAGGGGGCGAGCGUUUUUCGGAAUCUUUGGGGGUAAAACGCGCGCAGGGGGUUUUUUAAAUCUGAUGUGAAAACCCCCGGGUCAACCCCGGAGGGUCAUUGGAAACUGGGGGACUUGAGUGCGGGAGAGGGGAGCGGAAUUCUCGGUGUAGCGGUGAAAUGCGUAGAGAUCUGGGGGAACACCCAUGGGGAAGGCGGCUCUCUGGCCUGUAACUGACGCUGAGGCGCGAAAGCGUGGGGANCAAACAGGAUUUGAUACCCUGGUAGUCCACGCCCUAAACGNUNUGUCCUCGGUGUUAGGGGCUUUCACGCCUUCAGUGCCGAAGCUAACACAGUAAGCACUCCGCG
rnacentral:rRNA from 1 species